UAAAUGCGAUUGUCUUCAGUUGUUAGUU
rnacentral:piRNA from 1 species